AGAGAAGCCCUUUCAAUAUUUCCUUUAACCUGGGUUUUGUGUUGCUGUAUUCUUUAAGUUUUUGUUUGUUGGGAAAAAUUUUUAUUUCCCCUUCUAUUUUAAAUGAUAUUCUUGCUGGAUAAAGUAUUCUAGGUUGCAUAUUUUUUCCUUUGAGCACUUUAAAUAUCUCUUGCCAUUCCCUCCUGGCCUGUAGUGUUUCUGUAGAGAAAUCAGCUGAUAUUCUUAUGGGGGUUCCCUUGUAGGUAACAUUCUGGUUUUCUCUUGCUGCCUUUAGGAUCCUCUCUUUAUCACUAACUUUUGCCAUUUUUAUUAUGAUGUGUCUUGGUGUGGGUCUGUUUGGGUUCAGUUUGUUUGGGGCCCUCUGUGCUUCUUGUAUCUUGAAUCCAGUAUCCUUUAGAUUUGGGAAGUUUCCAGCAAUAAUUUCUUCAAAUAUAUUUUCCAUUCCCUUAUCUUUUUCUACUCCUUCUGGAAUUCCUAUUAUGCGUAGAUUGCCCCACUUUAUAUUAUCCCAUAGGUCUCUUAUAUUGCUUUCCAGUUUUUUGAUUCGGUUUUCUGUCUGUUGACCAGAUUGAGUGAUUUCCAUUAUUCUAUCUUCCAUAUCACUGAUUCAUUCUUCUGCAUUAUUCAUUCUGGUUUUUACUGCCCCUAGUUCAGUUUGCAUCUCUGCAAAUGAAUGUUCUAGUUUUUCUUGGCUCCUCCUUAUAUUUUCUACCUCCUUUCUGAGGGUAUCUGCAUUACUGUUCAUAUCUUCUCUUAAUUCCUUCAGUAUUUUCAGUAUUUCUCUUUUGAAUUCCAGGUCUGUCUGACUGCAGAGAUCUGUUUCAUUGUUGACUGUUUUAGGUGAGUUCUCCUGUUGGUUUGACUGGGGGUGGUUUCUCAGCUUCUUCAUCUUGCUUGUUGUCUUCUUUCUCCUGAGGGAGUUGUAUUCUCCGUUAUCGGGUAGUGUUUGCCUUGUCACUGCCAUGGAAUAUUUCCUGAGGGCUGGCGUUGUUGGUCAAUCUUCUUUGAGGCAGUGUGGCUUUUCUGAAGUGUUGAUGGGGCUAACAGUGUUUCUUUGAAGCAAAGGAGGACUUCCUGAGGGCAGACAGGACUGGGAGGUCCACCCCACGAUGGUAGCAGAUUUCACUUGGUCAUGCAGAGCUUGCUCUGGUGUUUUUAGGCUGUGGGGUUCUUGCAGGGAGUUGGCGGUGUUGGGCAGCUGCUCUUCAGGGGUGCAUCACCCCCUGGGGGCUGGAGCAGCUAUCUGGGUCACUGAGAACCUAAGAGGCUCUUCCCUAGGGCAGCCCAACUCAGAAGGACAGCCUGAGAAUGUAGGCGGAUCUUUUCGCAGUCUGGCCGAGCUUGUUGCAGCUUUUCUGGGCUGCAGGGGCUCUUCCAGGGGGCUGGUGGUGCUGAGCAGUUAUUUCACGGGAGUGGGGCACCCCCUGGGAGCUUGGGCGGGUAGCAGGGCCCUUGGAGACCCAAGAGGCUCCUCCCCAGGGCAGCCCGACUCAGAAAGACCGUCUGAGAUCUUUUCCCGAUUUGGCCAGGCUUGUUGCAGCUUUUCUGGACUGCAGGGGGUCCUGCCUGGAGCUGGAAGUCCUAUGCAGCUGGUCCACUAGGUCUCAGCACCCCCUGGGGCCUUGGGCGGGUAGCAAGGCCCUUGGAGACCCCAGAGGCUCCUCCUCGGGGCAGCCCGUCUCAGAAAAACCGUCGGAGAAUUAGGCUGAUCUAUUCACGGCCUGGCUAGGCUUGUUCUAGCUUUUCUGGGCUGCAGGCCUUUUCUAGGGGGCUGGUGGUGUUUGGUGCUGCUCUGUGGAAGUGUAGCCCCUCCAAAGGGCAAGCAGGCCUGUGCAGGGAGAGCCCCUGCGGUGGUAGGCUUCAGGCAAUUGUUGAGACCAGCCCUCCUGGAUGGCAGGCAGCCCCAGGUUCGUCGAGAGCGUAGGGGGUGGCGGGGGUGGGGGGAGGGAAUGCACUGGGAAGCACAGCUUUCUGCUAGCUAGCGGGCCUGUAAGCUUGCUGUGGCGUGGGGGGUAUUCUAUGGGGACCCACCCCUUCUUCUCUCCCCUCCCCAGCAUGGGUGCAGACCAGGCUCUUCUCCCAGGUUCCCUCUGAGGCGGCUUUCCACUUCCCCGCCCCUAGAGUAUUGCUCCCUUCCUCUGCGACAGCUUUGUUUUCUAGUCUCCCAGGCAGUCUCUGCUCCAUCAAAUGGUUUAGAGACCUCCCAAGCAGUUUCCGCUCUUCCCCGCCCCCCUAGCCUGGGGACUAAUCUCUGGAGCCGAGCCCCCACCCAGGCGUCUCAAUUUUUGGUGACUGUGCCCGUAGUUCAGAUGGUCCGUUGGGUUCUUGAUUGGCUUUUCCGUACUCCGACUUACUGCUACACUCUUCUCUGCAUCUGGGGAUUCCUCCGGUUCAUUUGAUCUUUCGCCCGUUAGGUGACUUUCCAGGGUGCGGGAUCCCUUUCUCCUCCGCAGUUCCCUUUCGGGAGCGCCCGUCUCGCUGGGAUUCACCUUCUCUCACUCUCCUCUUUUCUCCCGUUCUGCCCAGUAAUGUCACGAACUUCUUGCCGUUAUUGGAGUUUAGGUUCCUCUGCCAGCGAUUGGUUGCUGUUCUGUGCGAAUCAUUUAUUCUGUAGAUGUGCUUUUUUUGUUGUGUUCGUGGGAG
rnacentral:lncRNA from 1 species